UAAAGUGAAUCCAUUAUUGCAUAUAACAUGACACCACUGUUUUUUAAGCAAAUUCAAAGACAUUGUGUGUUUUGAGUGUGAUGAUCUUUGACCUUAGGAGGCUAUGGACGGAAGCUGAUACUGGCCGACGGGGACAUGGUGAAACAGAAGGGGACAUGGUGAAACAGAAGGCUGAUGAGCUCCUGAAAGAGUCUGAGUGACAUGGUCCUGAGAGAAGUGAAUACUGGAAUACAAUGCAGGGUCAUCCAUAAUGCCUCCAUGAACGCAGUUGAAUGCUGUGGCCUCCAGCUGUAGAACUUUGGAGAGACUGUGUCCAUUGUGUUCUGGACAGACACCUGGAGACCGGAAACAUUCUAUGAUGAAAUCAAGAAGAACAGGGACUUAGGGAUGAACACACUAUGCCUGAUUGCCAUUAGUGAGAAGAUAUGCGUGGGUCUGGCCAGGGUGGGAGCCGAGGACCAGGCCAUCCAAUACGGCAUCUUGUGACCUGGCGGCCCGCUACACUCCAUGAUCGUGACGGGUCACCUGCACCCGCUGGAGAUAGACAUGCUAUGUCUGUCAGCCACCACCCCCAACAUACAGCAGGACCUCAACGUACAACUCCUAAUGCACACACCCCAUCUCAACUGACUCUCAGGAUCUCUGAAGGUUCUCCACAAAGACAGUCUGAGACAGUUCCACCCAGGGCCAUGUGUUGUAUAGGCCUACCAACUCUUAUCCAUACCGUUGUUGACUUGACUCGCCUAACAGAUGAACGACACAAAUGCAGCAGUAGGGUCAGGGUGAUGGAUCAACAUCAUGCCAUAAAAGGAGAGCCCGUGAUUGCUUUAGGGCUAUUGUACUCUGAAUACGCCAAUGUAUCCGGUAGUUUAAUCUCACUAUGGCCUUGGAAUCAGGGUCAACAAAUUAUCUUGACGCUCGCUGGUCGUUGUCUGUAUUGUGUGUCAUAAAAUGUCAUUAGCCUGAUUGAGGAGGAAAUGAAGAAAAAAGGUCACAGAGGAACAACUGCUCAGUAACAGUGUCUUGGUAUAAAGUGAAGCUGUUCAGUAGUCUUGUAUUGGAAAAUGACAACACAGACUAAGGAAAAUGCAAUCAGUUAUUUUAGGGUCAGUUACCCAGACCCAGAUCAACCAAUUCCUGGACUUUAAAACCACUUUUUAAUUGAGAUUAUCCAAAGAGAAUGCUUUUAGGUGAUCAAAAUGUUAGUGAUUGCUACUUGCCAUUUUUAUUUUCUUAGGCAAAUCGGAGACAACCUGGAAUGCUAUAGCCACCUUUUUCUGGGUCUGUAAAACCAGCCUUAAUAGUAUGACAUUUGGUAACGUAAUUAUUUACAGAUAGGAAAUCAUGGAUGACAAACAGAGCAAUUUCCUUGUUUAAAGAUAUGCACCACCUGUCAAAUAUGUAACAAUUAACAGUGGAACUAAACAAACAUUGAGAUAUACACAAGCUUCACCUUUUCAAGGUGAAGUUUAAACUAUUAUCCCAUGUCAACCUCCAUUCCUGCAAACACAAAUAAUGAGAAAGAAUAUAAAAUGUGCAGUAAAAUCAUUUAUUACAUUUCAAAAGAAGAUUGGAACUGGCCAACUGCAAACUUAAGACCAAUGAGGAUAAUAAAAUCCUGGGUUUUAGGCUAACUUCAUUUUGAUGUCUGUUUCAACCAUCCCCUUUAACAAGGUGGUAAGCAGCUGUUCAUGGUUCAAAUAAAGCUGCUGUGUGCCAUCCAGGGAAUUAUGUCAAGCGUGGUCAAGAGGAAUUCUUACAACUUUCCCUUAGGAAAAAUUACCCUGACAACUCUCAAAAGGAUGUUCGAUCAAAGAUGGAACCAAAAGAGUUGGAAUAAGACCCAUGUCGGCCGUCUGAUUCCCUCCGGGUCUUGAAGGACAUGAUGAUUCCAGUCGCACAUACGUAAACGAAUGGCUUCUCACAUGAGGAUAUGACGGAUUGUCCAUUAUUUGAUUCAAAAGGCACUUAAGAAACCCAGAAUGACAGUUGAAUGGCUCAAGUGUGCAAAGUGCAACUAAAUGGCCAAACGGAAUAUGCCCCCUAGUUAAUUAUGUGGGACUGGUAUGAUAGACGUACAAACGUUGGCUUAACACAAAACGUCCAUUGAAGUGUACUUAAACUCCUAUCAGACAAUAGUUAAAUGAAUUAAAACCCCAUCUUAAUGGGAAAAAGGAUCUAACCAAGACAUGCAGUAUGGCCCGUGAGUUCUCAGACAAAUGUCCUAAACAGUAGAAUGGGUGGAAGUGUGUGUGUGUGUGUGUGUGGGUGUGCAGUGUCUGAAGCAAAGUU